rnacentral:tRNA from 1 species
GAUUCAGUAGCUCAGCCGGUAGAGCACUUGCCUUUUAAGCAAGGGGUCCCGGGUUCGAAUCCCGGCUGGAUUACCA